rnacentral:rRNA from 1 species
GAUGAACGCUAGCGACAGGCCUAACACAUGCAAGUCGAGGGGCAGCAUAAAGCUAGCAAUACUUUGGUGGCGACCGGCGCACGGGUGAGUAACACGUAUGCGACCUACCUGUAAGAGGGGAAUAACCCGGAGAAAUUCGGACUAACACCGCAUAAUACCGAUUAACUGCAUGGUUGAUCGGUUAAAUAUUUAUAGCUUACAGAUGGGCAUGCGUAACAUUAGAUAGUUGGUGAGGUAACGGCUCACCAAGUCAACGAUGUUUAGGGGUCCUGAGAGGAAGGUGCACCACACUGGUAAUGAGGCACGGACCAGACUCGUACGGGAGGGAGCAGUGAGGAAGAUUGGGCAAUGGGCGAGAGCCUGAACCAGUCAAGUCGCGCGAAGGAUGAAGGUUCUAUGGAUUGUAAACUUCUUUUGUAAGGGAAUAAAAAAGCUUACGUGUAGGCUAUUGUAUGUACUUUACGAAUAAGGAUCGGCUAACUCCGUGCCAGCCGCCGCAGUAACAC